UACGGAGGGGGCUAGCGUUGUUCGGAAUUACUGGGCGUAAAGCGCACGUAGGCGGCUGUUCAAGUCAGAGGUGAAAGCCUGGAGCUCAACUCCAGAACUGCCUUUGAAACUAGACAGCUAGAAUCAUGGAGAGGUGAGUGGAAUUCCGAGUGUAGAGGUGAAAAUUCGUAGAUAUUCGGAAGAACACCAGUGGCGAAGGCGGCUCACUGGACUGGUAUUGACGCUGAGGUACGAAAGCGUGGGGAGCAAACAGG
rnacentral:rRNA from 1 species